rnacentral:rRNA from 1 species
AUUGAACGCUGGCGGCAUGCCUUACACAUGCAAGUCGAACGGUAACGCGGGGCAACCUGGCGACGAGUGGCGAACGGGUGAGUAAUAUAUCGGAACGUGCCCAGUCGUGGGGGAUAACGUAGAGAAAUUUACGCUAAUACCGCAUACGAUCUAUGGAUGAAAGCGGGGGAUCGCAAGACCUCGCGCGAUUGGAGCGGCUGAUAUCAGAUUAGGUUGUUGGUGGGGUAAAAGCCCACCAAGCCGACGAUCUGUAGCUGGUUUGAGAGAACGACCAGCCACACUGGGACUGAGACACGGCCCAGACUCCUACGGGAGGCAGCAGUGGGGAAUUUUGGACAAUGGGCGCAGGCCUGAUCCAGCAAUGCCGCGUGCAGGAAGAAGGCCUUCGGGUUGUAAACUGCUUUUGUACGGAACGAAACAGCUCUUUCUAAUAAAGAGGGCUAAUGACGGUACCGUAAGAAUAAGCACCGGCUAACUACGUGCCAGCAGCCGCGGUAA